ACUCCCUGUUCACUCAUGACUGCACGGCUAGGCAAGACUCCAACGCUACCAUUAAGUUUGCCGAUGACAUAACAGUGGUAGUCCUGAUCAAAGGAGACAAAGGAGAUGAUUGUGGACUACAGGAAAAAGAGGACCGAGCAUGCCCCCAUUCUCAUCGACGGGGCUGUAGUGGAGCAGGUUGAGAGCUUCAUGUUCCUUGGUGUCCACAUCACCAACAAACUAACAUGGUCCAAGUACUCCAAGAUAGUCGUGAAGAGGGCAUGACAAAACCUAUUCCCCUUCAAGAGACUGAAAGGAUUUGGCAUGGGUCAUCAGAUCCUCAAAAGGUUCUACAGCUGCACCAUCGAGAGCAUCCUGACUGGUUGCAUCAAUACCUGGUAUGGCAACUGCUCGGCCUCCGUCCGCAAGGCACUACAGAGGGUAGUGCUUACAGCCCAAUACAUCACUGGGGCUAAGCUUCCUGCCAUUCAGGACCUCUAUACCAAGCGGUGUCAGUGUAAGGGCCUAAAAAUUGUCAAAGACUCCAGCCGCCCUAGUCAUAGACUGUUCUCUCUGCCACUGCACAGCAAACGGUACCGGAGCUCCAAGUCAAGGUCCAAGAUGCUUCUAAACAGCUUCUACCCCCAAGCCAUAAGACUCCUGAACAUCUAAUCAAAUGGCAAAUGGCCCCCCUUUACACGUCUGCUACUCUCUGUUGUUAAAAUCUAUGCAAAGUCACUUUUAUAAGUCUUCCUACAUGUACAUAUUACCUCAACUAACCGGUGCCUCAGCACAUUGACUUUGUACCAGCACCCCCCUGUUUAUAGUCUCACUAUUGUUAUUUUACUUGUUACUUUUAUUACUUAUUCUUAUUUUAUUUUUACCUGCAUUGUUGGUUAGGGGCUUGUAAGUAAGCAUUUCACUGGAAGGUCUUCCUACAUCUGUUGUAUUCGGCACAUGUCACUAAUAAAAUUUGAUUUGAUAUCAGCUGAUGUAAGAAGGGUUUUCUAAAUACAUUUGAUUUUGAUUUCAUUAUGAUAGAUACUCAGUACAGUUGUUGGUGUCAAACCCUGAUCUGUUUCACCUGUCCUUGUGCUUGUCUCCACCCCCCUCUAGGUGUUGGCGAUCUUCCCCGUUUAUCCCCUGUGUACUUAUACCUGUGGUUUCUGUUUGUCUGUGCCAGUUCAUCUUGUUUGUUCAAGUCAAUCAGCGUUUCAUGUCUCAGCUCCUGGUUUUUCCAGUCUCUCUUUUCUCGCCCUCCCGGUUUUGACCCUUGCCUGUCCUGACUCCGAGCCCACCUGCCGAUCUGUACCUCUGCCCCCCUCUGGAUUACUAACCUCUGCCCUACCCCGACCCUGAGCCUGCCUGCCGUCCGGUACCGUUGCCCCAGCUCUGGUUUACUGACCCCUGCCUACCCUGACCCUGAGCCUGCCUGCCGUCCGGUACCGGUGCCCCAGCUCUGGUUUUCUGACCCCUGCCUGCCCUGACCCUGAGCCUACCUGCCGUCCGGUACCGUUUUCCCAGCUCUGGUUUUCUGACCCCUGCCUGCCUGCCCUGACCCUGAGCCUACCUGCCGUCCGGUACCGUUGCCCCAGCUCUGGUUUUCUGACCCCUGCCUGCCUGCCCUGACCCUACCUGCCGUCCGGUACCGUUGCCCCAGCUCUGGUUUUCUGACCCCUGCCUGCCUGCCCUGACCCUGAGCCUACCUGCCGUCCGGUACCGUUGCCCCAGCUCUGGUUUUCUGACCCCUGCCUGCCUGCCCUGAGCCUACCUGCCGUCCGGUACCGUUGUCCCAGCUCUGGUUUUCUGACCCCUGCCUGCCUGCCCUGACCCUGAGCCUACCUGCUGUCCGGUACCGUUGGUCCAGCUCUGGUUUACUGACCCCUGCCUGCCCUGUUUAUUGCCUGCCCCUGUUUGCAUGAUCUGCAUCUGUGUCUUCCCUUCAUACCUGAUAGAUGGUACUAAUAUGCUGACUAAUAGCAAACUAUCCCUUUGAAGCAAACUAAUUAACAAUGCACAUUCAGGGAGGAUGGGAGUUGGCUUUCUUUGUCUCUGUAAGCACAGUCUGUUACUUAGUGGCAUUUAAGCUGUCAUCUUACACUCCUUUACACAUUCCCUCUACCUCUGACUCCUCCUUUUUCUUUUGGUGCCUCCCCAUUUCUUUGGGAACAUCCAACAUCUCCAGCUAUGUAGACUGUUCUUUAACCAAGUUUGGCCCAGGGUAGGCCGUCAUUGUAAAUAAGAAUUUGUUCUUCACUGACUUGCCUAGUUAAAUAAAGGUGAAAUAGCUUGACCAUGUGACAUAUCAUUAUAACUACCUCAUGCCUUUUGCACACAAUGUAUAUAGACUCCCCUUUUUUUUCUUCUUCCUAUUGUGUUAUUGACUUGUUAAUUGUUUACUCCAUGUGUAACUUUGUGUUGUCUGUUUACACUGCUAUGCUUUAUCUUGGCCAGGUCGCAGUUGUAAAUGAGAACUUGUUCUCAACUAGCCUACCUGGUUAAAUAAAGGUGUUCUCAACUAGCCUGCCUGGUUAAAUAAAGGUGUUCUCAACUAGCCUGCCUGGUUAAAUAAAGGUGUUCUCAACUAGCCUGCCUGGUUAAAUAAAGGUGUUCUCAACUAGCCUACCUGGUUAAAUAAAGGUGUUCUCAACUAGCCUGCCUGGUUAAAUAAAGGUGUUCUCAACUAGCCUACCUGGUUAAAUAAAGGUGUUCUCAACUAGCCUGCCUGGUUAAAUAAAGGUGUUCUCAACUAGCCUACCUGGUUAAAUAAAGGUGUUCUCAACUAGCCUACCUGGUUAAAUAAAGGUGUUCUCAACUAGCCUACCUGGUUAAAUAAAGGUGUUCUCAACUAGCCUACCUGGUUAAAUAAAGGUGUUCUCAACUAGCCUGCCUGGUUAAAUAAAGGUGUUCUCAACUAGCCUACCUGGUUAAAUAAAGGUG